rnacentral:lncRNA from 1 species
UUUUUUUUGAACGAGCAGACAACGAUGCAUUAGUAGGAAAUGUUUUUACCAAGUACAACACUAGCAUCAACGCACAAAAGAUCCAAAAGGGCUAAGGGUGGGUAAUUAACCCAAUUCUCAGUAAGACAACCCAUGCUUUCGCUAACCAGUCAGCUACCUUAUUCGUCGAUCGAUUACAAUGAGCUAUUGUAAGACCUGACAUUUUUUCCAGUUUCUGUUUUACCCGGUCCAAAAGUGGUUGUAUUUCCCAACUAAUAGUCUCUGAAGAGUGGAUCCCCUUUACCACUGUGCUGCAGUCAGAGUGUAUAAUUAUUUCUUUUUCAGUUCUAUUCAGGGCCAGCUUCAAGGAGAUAAAAUCUAGAGUUUCAAUCAGAGCCAUUACCUCUGCUUGCUCGGCCGUUCUAACCUCCACAGAUUUAGUAAAACCAUCAAUAAUUCUUCCCAAAUCAUCCCUGCAAACACAAGCUACAGCUGCUGUGAAGGGGGAAAGUCGAGUUUGAGAUCCGGUAAAAGAGGCAUAUUCCUCCCUAUUUUGCUCUGAGGUCGAUCUCUGUUCUUGGCUAACUUCAGAGUUUUCUUUUAGCUUGGUUGUUUUCCCCCUGUCUCCAUUGUCAGGCGUGCAAGGCACAGAGGCGAUUUCGGUUUCUUCCCACUCUACGGCAUCCUCACCUAUUUCAAGAAUGCUGGACAGAACCAGCGAAUAUUUGUUCUUUUGUUUGUAUUUGGAAGAAACAUCUGUCACGCCAUCCCUGUUGGGUCGCAACGCAGCUUCGUUUGGAGGGAGAUGUCGCUGCAAGUUACCUGAGAUUCCACCAGUCUCUUUUCUGUUCAGAUCUGGGUUGCUUUGCUGAUUUCUCGCUUCUUCUCUUUCUUUCGACUUCAAAUCUGGCCUCACCCUUUGCUCUGCAUUGUAGCUGCUAUAUGAUUUUAGUUCUGUGUCAGAGGGCACACUUUUUGGGUCUUGCUUUUUAUUUGUUGACUGAUUAUUUCUUCUGGGCAACCCAUGGGGUAGAGAUAAGGCAUAUUUAUUGUUGUUUUCACCUUGCUUCUUCUUUGUAGUAGCUAGGCCCGUGGGAUUUUGAAUCUCCUCAGAUACCAUUUUGUGUGGCCGUUCUAUCAUCACCCGUUUACCAACAUCCGAGUUAGUCAUUGUUGGCGAUAUGGCUGAGGCCUCUGGGUUGCGAGUAGAGCUAGCCAAUUGUAUGUUUCCAUGCAGGUGGAGCUGGUCAUCUUCAAUUUCCGUCCAUGAGACAUCAAGUGUUGGGGAGAAGGAGGUAUAUGAGUUGGGAGACGAGUCUUGAAAUUCUUCGCUUGUUGAUUUUGGUUCCGAGGUUGAUGCUGAAAGAUCUUCUUUACUGUACCAUGAGACCUCUUGAUUUGAGUUUAACUGUGAUCUUUCUGUGCAAGUAGGCCCGAAGGAUGCAUCUAUGUUGAUUUUGAGAACACCGGGCUUCGGGGGUUGCCAUUUGUUGUGUAAGUCGGCUUCUUUCUUCUGGUUUUUCAAUUUGGGAUUCCAAGUGGCAAAGCUGUCUUGUGAGGUAAUGGCUCUAAAAAGAGUGUGAUGGAAAUUGAGAGGACUUUUCCUAAAAAUAUGAUGAUUUCGAUCCUUCCAUAUGCACCAAAGUACAUUCGCAAGUAGUUCAAAUUCUUGAGAUGUUCUAGAGCUUGUGUGUACUUUGUAUAACCAUUCAUCAAAGCGGGUCAAGCCUACUCGAUUCACUUCAACUUGCAAGGAUGGCUCAGUCCAUAGCUGUGUGAUCCAAGGGCAUAGAAGAAAUGUGUGUUCUAUCGUCUCCGGUUCCAAACCACAUAAUGGACAUAUAGGCGCAGGUACUAUUUUUCUUCUAUACAAGUUCUCCAUUGUAGGUAAAGCAUUUUGACAAGCACUCCAUAGAAAGAACUUUAUUUUGGGUUGUAUAGACGCAUUCCAUAUAUGUUUCCAUAAUUCGGGGCUGACCUGGUAGGAUGUUGUUGGCAGUUGAUCUUGAAAAACCAUUGUAUUCUUUCUAUGCAGCAAAUAUCCACUUUUCACCGUAUACCUUCCUGAUUUAUUACUCAACCAUAUCAGUUUAUCUUCCGUUGUUGGAAGUCCGAAAGGGGUAGCUAGAAUUUCCAUCACUAUAUUUUGAUCAAACAUAGAUCGCAAUAGAUCUUCUUUCCACACAGCAUUUUCAAAAUCUAUCAACUCUGCAACCUUGGAAGGUUCAUUUCUUGCCGCGGGUCCUCCGAUUACACCCAUUUUCAGCCAUUUAUCUGUUCUGAUUGACAAAAAAGUCAGAAUUUUAGGAGAAAACGCAUAAGCUUGCACAUUAUUUCUAUUCAGUCGCUGCUUUUGACGGAUGACAUUCAAGAAAGUUCGUUGAAUAUGAAAUUGGCGUUUCCAUUUUCUGAGAGUCUCGUGAUUCUUAUCAUCCUCACAAAGAGUUGACACCGGACAGCACAAGACGGAAAUGGUAGAGGAAUUCAACAUAUUAAAGCUUGGUCUGAUUAGAGGUGUCCACGGUAAAUAUUUGAGGCGUGGUGCUAUUGGUUAUUUUACGGUGCGGUAAAGAAAAGAAAUCUACGACUAUGUGCUAUUGACUAGAACCGUCCACGGUAAAUAUCUGUAAACUGUCGUAAACCAAACUUGACAAAGGUAAGCCAGGGACAUCUCUCACCUCGCUAGGGUCUCUCCUCUCCCCCUCAUCUUCACAUAGCUUUCUUCAUUAUCCUCUACGAAGGAGAGGAUUUGAGUUAGAUCUCUUAUUCCCCUCCCUUUUUUUUCCUUUUUCUUUUGCUGAUUUGGUUCUUUAUUUUCUUUUUCUUGCUUUUCUCACAUUUUGAGGAAUUUUUCUCUUCUGAUCAAGUCUAGAUCUAGAAGUUUUUCUCUCCCAUUUCAAGGAGGUUUCUAUCCCGAUCUGGUCUAGAUUUGGAGUUUUUUGCGUGUAUGCUUAUGGGGUUUUGCUUCCCUUGUAUUUCAUUGGUGUACAAGUCUAGUUGUGAAAGUAAUCAGAGGAGAUUUGUGAAAGUUUUGCUCUCACAGAUGGUAGAUCUAUGCGUGUUUAACCUUGUUGAACAUAAGCAUGCACCAUCAAAAGGCAAAGCGAUUGCUACUAAUGGAGAACUUGGUGUGUACUCAUUACUGAAGAUGGAUAUAGUGAUCAGCCGCCGAUUUUGAUUUGAAGAAGUCACUAUUCCGCUUUUUGAGGGUAUGACCCCCUAACCUUAUUAUGAUGAUUCAUCUUCUUAUUUGGAGCUUGUUUUGUUUUGGAUUUGUCUAGGAUUUGUCUUGAUUUGCAGUUAGGCUGCGUUUCUCUAUUAUAUAUCCAUGGAAAUGAAUGUAAUGUUUUCUUUUAUCAAAAAAAAGAAAAAAAUAAAAAGAAACUCGACAAAGGUGUGCUAUAUGUUCUAACAGACUAUCAUAAAUCUAUGCAAGUCGACGUAAUCAUGAAAUAUACAACUUCACAACAUUUCGCUCUUGCUAUUGACAGGUCGUGGUUGGCCAACUCAUCCUCAUCACAAUUACAAUGACUCCCAACAUGCGACGUUUUGUUCUUUUGCUAUGACCGGCCGACAUAACCGGUCAAAUAUGUAAAAACGCUAAAUAUGAAUGGGUUGUCGUAAUCGAAGGUGUUGAUCAAACUAUUUUGGCUAUGGCCGGACCUCGUAAUCGAAGGUGCUGGUCUAAUCACACUGAUUCCCAAGGCGUGGUGAAGUCCGAUUAUGCAAAUCAAUUAAACACUGGUGUUGGUCAGCAGAGUUUUAUUUCACCAAGAGAUGCUAGGGCUCUACACGUUUUUUGGUGUGAAUAUGGACGGGUUGUUUUCUUCGUGUUUUAUGUCGUAUAUACGGUGCAAGUGUAAUAUCUGAACUCUUAAUGGCGAGUGGCAUGGCGUCGUUAAUUUGAGGU